AGCAGCCGCGGUAAUUCCAGCUCCAAUAGCGUAUAUUAAAGUUGUUGCAGUUAAAAAGCUCGUAGUUGAAUUUCGAGACCGGCCUACUGGUCGUGCUUUUGUACGUACUGGUUUUAUUGGUUUCUCCUUUCUGACGAACUAUAAUGCCAUUAAUUUGGUGUUAUGGGGAAUCAGGACUGUUACUUUGAAAAAAUUAGAGUGUUUAAAGCAGGCUCACGCUUGAAUACAUUAGCAUGGAAUAACGGAAUAGGACGUUUGAUUCUAUUUUGUUGGUUUCUAGGAUCGACGUAAUGAUUAAUAGGGAUAGUUGGGGGCAUUAGUAUUCAAUUGUCAGAGGUGAAAUUCUUGGAUUUAUUGAAGACUAACUACUGCGAAAGCAUUUGCCAAGGAUGUUUUCAUUAAUCAAGAACGAAAGUUAGGGGAUCGAAGACGAUCAGAUACCGUCGUAGUCUUAACCAUAAACUAUGCCGACUAAGGAUCGGAUGAUGUUAAUUUUUAAUGACUCAUUCGGCGCCUUACG
rnacentral:rRNA from 1 species